GUUUUUGUAGUCCAACGGUUAGGAUAAUUGCCUUCCAAGCAAUAGUCCCGGGUUCGAUUCCCAGAAAAUGCA
rnacentral:tRNA from 1 species